GCCGGGCCAGAUGAGAUCCGGGCGGCGUUCCGGCGUCAGGCGAGGCAGUGGCACCCCGAUGUCUGCCCCUCUUCGAGCGACCAUAAAUUAUUUGCUGAGCAGUUCAUCCGAGCAAGGGAGGCUUACGAGGUGCUGUCGGAUCCGGAUCUCCGCCAGGAUUACGAUCUCGCCCUCGGUGCCGGCGUGCCGCACCAGACGGGCGCCGAUCGGAGAGGGGAGCGAUCCGGUGGUAGAUUUG
rnacentral:misc_RNA from 1 species